GCUUUUUCUUCCGAACCAAAUAAAUGGAGAAAAUUUCAGCUCUUUUAAUUGUAAUCUGUACUACGACAAUUUAGGUAGCAUACUGCCAUUCUAGGAAUGCUAAUCAAGCUGUGCAUACACCAGCAAAGAAAAGCCAACAGGGAAAUUAAGCAACCGAUGGCCAGAACGGCAAAUGCGCCCGUCAAAUUGGACAAUGUUAGUCGUACGGGCCGAAUAUUGGUGUUUUUGACGAUCUUGUAGUCGCCAUUUUGGCUUAAGCAAGGCCGAGUAUCAGGCUUGAAUCGUCUCUCCCAUGACAAUAUCAGCCCCAAUUCAUGGAGCACCAACGUCCUGCACCAAAUGUGUAUCAAAACUCUUGAAAGUCUCGAACAGAAACCAAGUUAACUGCUACCAUACAGAGAAUAAACAAAUUAAAUAAAUAUUACCCCCGUUUGAAUUCCUCCAAGUAUGGACUUCCCUUGGCAAGGGCCCAGACAAGGGCAAAGUCUCUUUGUAGAUCAACGCCCAUGACCAGUUUGCACUCUCUCGAAUUGCGGUAUUCUACUUGAAGCACACUUUGUAUUGCCUGCUGAGCCUAUUCGCCAUUCCCAAAUUUACAUAAGAGAUGUAAUAAUUCGGGUUUAUGACAAUAGAGCGUUUUCAUGGUAAAACAAUAAGCAGAUGGUGUCACGAGAGGAUCGGCCAUCCCGUAAUGAAUUACCGUAUCGCCAUCAUUACAUUCUAAAAUUAAGGUUCUUACGGCUUAACAUACGUUCAAGUAGACAUGCUGGGGUGGGUACGACUUCACUGCAUCAAUGCAUUGCUUCGUCGAGUUACACCUGGAAUGCGGAUAGGCUCGUAACUUGUCGCCAAGCGCCUUGAACAAUCCAGAAUGAGCAGUC